rnacentral:piRNA from 1 species
UAGUCAGAGUCUCCUGUUAUUCUAGGGCUUA